rnacentral:rRNA from 1 species
AGCGAACGUUAGCGGCGGGCCUAACACAUGCAAGUCGAGCGAGAAAGUGGCUUCGGCCAUCAGUAAAGCGGCGGACGGGUGAGUAACACGUAGGUAAUCUUCCCUUGAGCGGGGGACAACGUUUCGAAGGAACGCUAAUACCGCAUACGUUUCCAGGGACUCUGGUCCUUGGAAGGAAAGCUAGGUCGGGGCGUUAAACCCGGUCCGGCACUCGAGGAGGAGCCUGCGUCGCAUCAGCUAGUUGGUGGGGU